AUAAAAGCUAUGCAUCUUUACUAUUUCUUUAGCCCUCCUACCGCGAGCUUUCUCUUUCUUAUCUCGUGAUGGAACGGCUCAUCCUCAGGAGGUUUUCAAUAAACAAUUUUUCUGCCUUCUACUGAGUGAUCUCUGAGUAGUCAUUUUGGGUAAGGGUCUUCUACAUCCCUCACAGCUGGGGGCUCGUCCGGGAUGGGGUCUUUGGGGGAGACGGCUAUGUGUACCCCGAAGAGGGACAGGCACCCACGGAGUAGUGUUCUCCAUGGUCUCUAGCUCUGGGUGAGCAGCCUCCCUCCCCUCUUAGACAACGACCCGAAGCAGGGAUACUCAGUGGAAUGCAGAAUUGAAGAUUGAAAGAAGUAGAGUCCUAUGGCUGGCAUUUGUAGCCUGAAAAGAAACAUAUGUUCUCGAGGUAAAGCUCUUGGGAAGUCUGGGGGUUUAUUGGCUGGGUCGAGGCAGACCCUGAGGGAUUAGCCCUCUUAAAUUUAUUUUUGGUGUGGAUUGCUGUUAACCCCAACGAUAAAGGACUUUUCCUAAGGAGGCUCUUGGGUGGCUGUGGGGGAGGGAGGGGAACAUAGGGCUUCCGCCCAAGCGUGAGGAUAACAUAGGGCCUCUGCCAACACCUGGAUCAGAUCCAGGGUGGCAUAGAAGCAGUCAGAAAAUUAGUAUCAGGACAUUAGCUAGGAAAUUCAAGACUGGAAUGAACUUCCCAGAUAUACAAGGGAAGAAAACUGGGAGGAUGUAUAUCCCAGGACUAUUUGGGAGGCGAUUGACCAAUCCAGUCCCACCGGCCUCCUGACUGCUGGAGAGACUCGGGCAGAAGACAGCAGCCCCAACCAAAGGGGUAGAAGGUAGGAGGAAGAAGAGCAAUCUAAGCACAGUGACUGGUUGGAAGCUCGAUAGAGGCGGGACAAAGAACCAUUUCUCUGUCCCGAUGACUAAGUGGUCCACAGCCUGCCAAACAGCCCAAGUUCCGACCUUAUUGAUUGGGGCUUUUCCCUUUUAAUCCAAUAAAUUUCCUUCUUUCCCGAACGACCCACGAUCACCACAAAA